rnacentral:lncRNA from 1 species
GGAUAAUAAAAAUAUAAACUUAAAAAAAGUUAUAAACUGUAAGACCUAUUAAUGGAAUGACAGGUUUUAGCCUUGAGCAUUUAUAAGCUUAUGAAUUAAGGACAGAUGAAUAAUGGGUUUUUCUGAUCUCAAUGGACUUGGAGACAACUUUGAAACAAAUCAAAGACUUAUAUAAGGAAGAAAAGAGAGAGAGCUUUACAAUUCAACACAUGUAGAAAAAACAAAUACGGGAAAAUAAAUACUUUGUUACAGUUAAUAAAUAAAUGAUGUCCACUACUUUUCAAGAAUAGAUGAUUACUGAUAAAAUAAUAUGUCCUAGUUUACAAUACAAUUCCUUAGGAUGGGAAAUUCUAUAAGGUCGUGGAGGAUGUUCUGCAAUUUGAUGAAAUGUUGCUUUUAGCAGGGUCGUUACUACAUUGGCAUUCUCUUGAAGACAUUAAUGGACCAAAAACACAGACCAUCCUUUUUGCUGCAUCUCUCCAAAUCCAUCUAUUUCAGAUCUUAUUUUUUUCCAAAACCCAGAAAUUGACUCUGUAUUUUUAUCUUGUUCUCUCUCCUCAUCUCAGGCCAUCUGUAUAUUUUAGACUUCACUUUUCC